CCUCCUCCUCCAGGAGGACGCGCCGCCGCCCCUGUUCUUCCUUCCUCCUGUCGGCAUGCGCGCCGCCACCCCUCUGGCCGUCGCUGGCAUCCCGUUCGAGCCCGUGGAUCCGAGGAAGAUGGAGACGAUGGAUGAUGGGAAGGACCAGCGGCUGCCUAGUGGUGACCUCGUGGAAGCAGACGGUCGACAAAGACCAUCAUCGAGGCUGCUACUGGUAUGUGUUGUGCAAUCUUCAGAGAUGAAAAAAAGAUACUAGUACAGAGAGGAGGGAGGAUUGCAAUUCAGACAGAUUGGCUGGAGUUCAGCAGAAGGAUUCACAUCAGUGCAAAUCUCCGGUGGGAGUAAGUUCAGAGGGGGAAAAUGCAUCUGGCCCAACCGCCUCGACCUCAACAAGCCCCAUCAAGAUUCGGCACCGUGGGCUGCACCCCCUCUCUUCCUUCGAAACUAGGAGUUGUGGAGGAGCAUUGAUUGGUUGUCUACUCGGAAAGAAAAGAAGAUGAAGUAUGUGACCAUCGUAGCAACUGUUGAAGAGACGUUGUGCGGCUGGUUGUGGAUGAGAAUUGUCUAGCCGGCAAUGGAUUUCCAGCAAGGGCGGCAGAGAAAAAUCCAUGACGAGAUGAACACCACCACGACAACAUCAUGGAUGUGAUCAAGCAGCCGUAUGCGCACUGCUUGUGCUGGGCGCCGAUCUGGAGGCCCCUGAUCGGAAGGGACGCCACUGGAGCUGCUGCGGGAGAUGGUAGCGAAUACUGAUGUGGACAUUCAAGCUGCAAUAGAGGAGCUGCAUGUGCUGCUAUA